UACCCGGAAAAAGUGCAUUCGGGUGCCGAAAUGCACCCGUUUUGCAUCAUUUUUCGUUCCGGAACCGAAUGCUCAAAAACACUCCCAAACAUGUUCUAGGGUAUAAUUAGGAAGAUUGCAUGCGUUCGUUGCGAAAAAAUCCACCCGAGUUUCGCUACCCGGCAAUAUGCAUUCGGGUACCGAAAUGCACCCGUUUUGCAUCAUUUUUCGUACCGGAACCGAAUGCUCAAAAACACUCCCAAACAUGUUCUAGGGUAUAAUUAGGAAGAUUGCAUGCGUUCGUUGCGAAAAAAUCCACCCGAGUUUCGCU
rnacentral:lncRNA from 1 species